UUAAAUGGCUGCAGUAAUUUGACUGUACAAAGGUAGCAUAAUCAUUAGUUUUUUAAUUUAAAGCUUGAAUGAAAGGUUGGACGAAGUAAAAUCUGUCUCUUUAUAAUAAAAUUAGAAUUUAAUUUUUAGGUUAAAAAGCUUAAAUUUUUAUGAAAGACGAGAAGACCCUAUAGAGUUUAAUAAUUUUAAUAAAAUAAUUAAUUUUGUUUUAUUAUUUUUAUUUUUUUANAAAUUAUUUUAUUGGGGUAAUAAUAAGAUUUAAAAAAUUCUUUUUUUUUUUAUCAUUAAUUUAUGAAAUAUUUAUGAUCCAUUANUUUUAUGAUUAUAAGAUUAAAUUACCUUAGGGAUAACAGCGUAAUUUUUUUGGAAAGUUCUUAUUAAUAAAAAAGUUUGCGACCUCGAUGUUGGAUUAAAGAUUAAUUUAGGUGUAGAAGUUUAAAUUUUUGGUCUGUUCGACCAUUAAAUCUUUACAUGA
rnacentral:rRNA from 1 species